rnacentral:rRNA from 1 species
AGUGAACGCUGGCGGUAGGCCUAACACAUGCAAGUCGAACGGCAGCACAGUAAGAGCUUGCUCUUACGGGUGGCGAGUGGCGGACGGGUGAGGAAUACAUCGGAAUCUACUUUUUCGUGGGGGAUUACGUGGGGAAAGUUACGAUACUGCAGCAUAGGACGUACGGGUGGAAGCAGGGGUGCAUGGGACUUUGGGGGAUUGAUUGAGACGAAGUCGGAUUAGCUAGUUGGGGGGGUAAGGGCCCACCAAGGCGACGCUCCGUAGCUGGCCUGAGAGGAUGAUCGGCCACACUGGAACUGAGACACGGUCCAGACUCCUACGGGAGGCAGCAGUAGGGAAUAUUCGACAAUGGGCGCAAGCCUGAUCCAGCCAUACCGCGUGGGUGAAGAAGGCCUUCGGGUUGUAAAGCCCUUUUGUUGGGAAAGAAAAGCAGCAGGUUAAUACCCCGCUGUUCUGACGGUACCCAAAGAAAAAGCACCGGCUAACUUCGUG